rnacentral:rRNA from 1 species
GACGUGACUUCAGAGUUUGAUCCUGGCUCAGGAUGAACGCUGGCGGCGUGCCUAAUACAUGCAAGUAGAACGCUGAAGCUUGGUGCUUGCACCGAGCGGAUGAGUUGCGAACGGGUGAGUAACGCGUAGGUAACCUGCCUGGUAGCGGGGGAUAACCAUUGGAAACGAUAGCUAAUACCGCAUAACAGUAGAUAUUGCAUGAUAUCUGCUUGAAAGGGGCAAUUGCUCCACUACCAGAUGGACCUGCGUUGUAUUAGCUAGUUGGUGAGGUAACGGCUCACCAAGGCGACGAUACAUAGCCGACCUGAGAGGGUGAUCGGCCACACUGGGACUGAGACACGGCCCAG